GACGGGGCCCCCGCACAAGCGGUGGAGCAUGUGGUUCAAUUCGAUGCAAACCGAAGAACCUUUACCCGGGUUUGACAUGCUGGUGGUACUGACCCGAAAGGGAAGGGACCCAGGGCCUUCGGGCGCUUGGGAACCAGCACAGGUGCUGCAUGGCUGUCGUCAGCUCGUGUCGUGGGAUGUUGGGUUAAGUCCUGAAACGAGCGCAACCCCUGCCGCCCGUUGCCAGCGGACCCUUCGGGGUGCCGGGAACUUUGGCGGGACUGCCGGCGAAUAGCUGGAGGAAGAGGGGAUGAUGUCAAGUCCUCAUGGCCCUUAUGUCCGGGGCUACACACAUGCUACAGUGCCCAGUACAAUGGGUCGCCAACCCGCAAGGGGGAGCCAAUCCCAUCAAAACGGGGCAUGGUUCGGAUUGCAGGCUGCAAUUCGCCUGCAUGAAGCCGGAAUCGCUAGUAAUCGCGGGUCAGCCACACCGCGGUGAAUACGUACUCGGGGCUU
rnacentral:rRNA from 1 species